UACGGAGGGAGCUAGCGUUGUUCGGAAUUACUGGGCGUAAAGGGCUCGUAGGCGGCCAACUAAGUCAGACGUGAAAUCCCCAGGCUUAACCUGGGAACUGCGUCUGAUACUGGAUGGCUUGAAUUCGGGAGAGGGAUGCAGAAUUCCAGGUGUAGCGGUGAAAUGCGUAGAUAUCUGGAGGAAUACCGGUGGCGAAGGCGGCAUCCUGGACCGACAUUGACGCUGAGGAGCGAAAGCUAGGGGAGCAAACGGG
rnacentral:rRNA from 1 species